GGCCCGCCUCCGCCGGCGCCCCCCGCAGCCGCAGGGGAGGCGCUGGGCAAGCCACGCCCCCUCCGCCGAGGCCACGCCCCCACGGCACAGGCCACGCCUUCUGUGAGGAGGCCACGCCCCCUGCCGGCGGCGCGCGGGCCCGCCCCGUAACGGCCCCAACGGCCGGGGCGCGAGCCCCCUGACAGGGCGCGGGGCUCCCCUCAGGGCUCCCCUCAGGGCUCCCCUCAGCCGCCCGGCCCCGCUCCCCGAGGCGCCGGGAGCCGUGAGGCGUCAGCGGCUGCCGCCCUCGCCCCUUUCCCUCCCUCCCUCCUUCCCCCGGCCCCUCUCGCCCCGGCGAGGCGCAGGGAGCCCGCGCGGCCCCCGGCUCCCCCGCGCUGCGGUUGCCGCCGCUCCCCUCCCCCCGCCCCAGCCCCAUCCCAUCCCCCUGCGCUCGCAGCAGUUAUAAAUGACUGUGCAACUCGGCAGGCAGCGGGCUCAAAUAACCGCGGCUUCACGGCUCUUCCUCCCUCCCUCCCUCCCCUCGGGGCUGCGGGGGGCGCGGCGAGGUGCGGUGCUGCCCCCGCAGGAGCCCGGGGGGAUUGGGCACGGCCCCGAGAGCCCAGGCGCUGCCCUCCCGGGGCCUCACCAUGGGAACCGCCAACACGAGGCUCCCGAGUGACCCCGGCCGCGGUGACAGGCGGUGAGGCAGCGGGGUCCUCUUCCACCAGGGUGAAGCGAGCCUAAGGAAAGCGGCUACAGGAGCUCCACUUGUGCAGAACCCAUCAGACGAGAUAGGCCAGCCAGCAAAACGCAUUUGCAUUACACUUGCUGUAGAGAGUUCAGAGCAUGGCACACCCCAGUCGCUGCUUUUAUGCUCUGUAAGGGCCCGGCCCUGCAAACACCGAUUUUUACAUGUGUAAGUAGAGUCCCACUGAAACACAAUGGAGCUACUCAUGCAAAUAACAUUAUGAGUGUAGGGCUGUGGCUCCAUUUCACCACUCCAUCUGCGGCAGACUUGGAGGAUCCUGCUGCUCCCUCUCACAGUUACCGCCGCUCGCUUGUGCCGGAUAAACUAUUUAUGGAGCCACAGCCACAGGUGAGCUGUUUAAAUGACCCAUCUUUCCUUUAAAAGCCAUGCACACUAACGAGAACAACCCCUGAACACAGACCAGCUCUGAUGCAGAUCUCAUCCCCGCAAGUGGCUGAACAGGCGCAACUGGAGGAGGUGGAAACAUCUGAGGAAGAGGAACUUUUGAAGACGGGACUGAAGACAGGCAAAAUGGCGACACGGAGCCCUAGCGUGCGAAGGCUGCAGGCAUGACUCUUCUGAAGUUAGACCCUGCCCCUGACCACCCGCGCUCUGCAGCCGAGCCUGUUCUCUAACUGCACAGUUGUUCCACGUGACAGAAGUUUCACCUCCAGUGAAACAGCAGAUCGCACCUUUUCAGUCACUGGUGCUUAAAAACAUUCUCUCAAGAAAGUCUGCCACCAUUACGAAGGAUCUGCCGACAGUUAUUGCUUCCAGGAUCAGGAACGUACACUCACUCCUCCUUACAAAUAAGGGACGCGGUUUCCAUGUGCAUCCGUAGCCAGCACGCCGCUGCUUCUGCAGUCAGAGGAUCCCUCGCUAUUAGCUUUGACACGGCACAUUUGGGCCAAGCGAAGUAUUCCCUACAUUUUUUUCAGUUUAUGGGCUAUUUUAUCUCCAGCAACUCUGGGUUGAAAUUGCAUCACAUAUUUCCUGUCUGCUGAGGCAAGAUUUCCCUCUUUCAGCGUGAUCAUAACCUUCCAGCAGGGAAGCUCCACCAACUCCUUCAGAGCUUUGCUCUCUAUUCUGCCCUCGACUUCUGUGUUCACAUACACCUGUGCAAAGUGGGUGUAAAACGCUCACACUGCUGGAAGUGAAGAACACACAUCAUUAGGAGGAUGUGUUGCUUUGUUUGUUUGCUUUAGGUUUGGUUUUUUUUUUUUUUUCCUCCUUUUGCUCUGGUGUAAAUGAUCAGAGGAGCCGCAGGACCACAGAAAGAUCAGGCUCUGCGAAAUCUUUUUCUUACGAGCUUUGAGUUUUACAUGGCUGCGUGCUCUAAUGAGCCUUCUCGAAAGGAAACAACCCGCUCUGCGAGGAGCCCAGGUGAUGGCAGUUCUCCUACUGCCACGAUCUCUCUGCAUGGGCUCAGGGGAGCUGCCUUCAUGAAUCCCGCUGCAGGACAAAGCCUGAUGCUGGACGGCAUGAAAGAGACGGCAACAGACCACAGGGAAGGGCAGCUUAACAUCCGCUGUUAACUUGGAAAAGCCUCUCCUUUCUGAAAGCAUUUAUCUAUUAUAAAUCAUUCCUAAAAGAUGAGGAAAUCAGGAUUAGGAGGAGGGGGAGAGAUUGUUGCGGCUUUGUUUCUAGUUCCGUUUCUUUUGCCAUCAGACUAGAGCCUAGUCUGGCUAGCCCCGAGCCUAGCCAGUUUUGCUGAACCUCAGACUUGCAAACGCCAAAGCAGCAGCUUCGCUGGGUUGGGGCGAGCGAUCCCUCUGCUCCUGCGUGGGACUGCACAAGCUCUGACAGAAGGGAAAGGCGUACAUACCCAUAAUGAUCUCCAUGUAUAUAUGCACACACACGCACACCCCAGUGCUGGCUUAAGGCCACACCUGUAGCUCCCCAUCGUGGCUCAUGGUGGCCUUGAUGGCCACCGAGGGCACAGAGCGCUGCUAGGAGGGAGGCUGGCUGCACAGCAUCGCCCUCCAGCAACAGGCACAUGCAGCGUGGCAAUCAGGGCGCUUGUCCUAGCUACACUGCGAAGGGAGAAACGUUUAAGCUCAGGUUUUCCUAUUCACUCAUCAAUCUCCAAAUGACCUGAGCCUUAAUCAGGUUUGCGCUGGAGCGUGGAACUGGGCCUGUGGUUAAAAUAUGUGCCAGAAGAACCUCGGGAUCUCCAGACAGACUGCUGGAGGAUCUGCCCCCCUUCGAGACAUUAUCCCUCAUCAGAACCGUAAUGUGGUGCACAAAUCCCACGCAUUAUAACAGCCCAAUUGCAGGAAGCUCUCGCCCUGUUUAGAGUCAUGUCCAAAGUCAAUAAGCAGGUGUGAGGCAAACGCUAGGCAGCACUACGGAUAAAUGCUCAGUUUUAUCUCCUGUGAUUAAAAAAAAAUAAAAAAAAAGGAAAGAGGAGAUUGAAUCAGAAGGGGAAUCAGGUAAACAGAAUCUGGGGAAACAUAUGCUCAUGCAACACAUGAAAAAUACGAAAUCAUACAAAACAGAGGUGGCAAAUUUUGGCUUACAGGAGAUCCCAAAACCAAUGUUUGCACAGGAACACCGGUCCUAUUACACUGUUCCAGUGUUUUACAGGGAGCUGCUAACACACACCAAGUUGUUGUGGCCCAGCCAGGAGAAUUUGGCUGUGGACCUGCCUGACCCUUGAGCAUUUCAAGACUCUCAGCAGAAACAUUACACUCCCUUUGU